rfam:Akkermansia sp. KLE1798 genomic scaffold Scaffold25, whole genome shotgun sequence.
GCGCCCGUAGCUCAAUUGGAUAGAGCGUCUGACUACGGAUCAGAAGGUUUGGGGUUCGAAUCCCUACGGGCGUG